AAAAUAAAAAAUAAAAAAUAAAAAAAUCGAUCGAAUUGAGGAGUAAAAUAAUCGAAAAUUUACACCUAUCAAGUACUCUACCAAAUUAGCAGUGACCUGAAUGUGAAUUCACUGAUGUUUAUUUUGGGCAAGCAUAUCAAAAUAGAAUGAAAUGGCCCAAUGGGCUAUCAGGGUCGGAUCCAAACAAACACUAAAAUUAUGGACGGUUGGAUUUUUUCAGAUCGAACGGACUUAAAUUAUCCGAAUCUGAUUUACCCCAUCCCCCUAUCCCCGAAGAAAUUCCACUAAUUAAUUUAUUUCUCACUCCUUUUCCGGUGACCAUCUCCGCCACCGCCCGCCCGCCCAAAUCAUCCAUCCGCCGCCGCCGUCUCGAUCCUCGCCUUUCUCCGUAAUUCUCCGCCGACAGUUCAGAUUAAACUUCCAGACGUCGCCGACGGUUAGCAUAAUUCUCGCGGCUUCUCUAUCGGCGAGCGACUUGCGAUCCAUCGGUGCUUCUCUGCUUGAUUGUUUAUUCCUUAUGCAUUAAGUGAAGUUUCCGAGCUCGACUCCAUUUGUCAGUUUCUCAUCUCUGUGUAUUGCUUCAACUACCACUUCAACUAAUUUUCCCAGUUUAAGUUGGAAGGAGGGCCAUGGAUGUAAAUGAGGGCGAGGAAGUUAUGAACCAUGAGAAUGAUGUAGAUGUCAGAAUGUCAAAUAAUUUGGACUUGAAUGUGGAGCAUGACUGUCGUAGUCCAAAAUCAUCCAAUGUCAAUGGGGUUCGUUCUCGUCGUUCUUUGAAACAUGAGGUACUCAAACUGGGAACUGAGUUUGAUUCUGAUGAGCAAGCAUAUAGAUUUUACCAUAAGUAUGCUGAGUUGGUUGGGUUCAGUGUAAGAAAGGACUGGGUCAAUAGGAGCAAGGUCCAUGGACGGGUGAUGUCAAGAAAGUUUACCUGCUCCAGACAAGGUCACAGGAAGAAAGACAAGAGAGAUGUUAAUGUGAAGAAACAUCGCAAGGAAACAAGAACAGGUUGUUUGGCUUACAUGGUAGUAACUCGUCAAACCGAUGGAAAAUACCUUGUUACUCAAUUUGAGGCAGAGCACAAUCAUGAGGAUGUGAAUCUGACUAAAGCUGAGAGGUUACUGGAAUCCCCAUCAGGUAAAGGGGACUCUACUGAAGUUUCUGAAACCGACUCAUUGAAGAACUCAGAGAUUCAGUCAAAGCUGUCCUUUCAGAUGUUAGGUAUACGGUUUUGCCCUCCAGAAAAUUUCGAUGACCUUCAAAUAGAUGAUGAGAUUUUCUUGAGCUCCAGACGAACAAGAGAUAUGAAGGAAGGAGAUGCUGCACGCCUGAUGUAUUACUUCCAGAGACAGCAUUUUGUAAACCCUUCAUUCUUUUACUCACUACAGCUUGACAUCGAUGAUAAGGUUAGCAAUAUAUUUUGGGCUGAUGACAAUAUGAUCAUGGAAUAUGGCCAUUUUGGGGAUGUUGUCUGUCUAGAUACGUCGUGUACAAGAAACAAAAGUUUCCGUCCUCUUGUUCAGUUUGUUGGACUAAAUAAUCAUAGGCAAGUCGUCAUUUUUGGUGCUGCCUUCUUAUAUGAUGACAGUGUUAAUUCCUUCAAAUGGCUAGUUCGAACUUUUGUUGAAGCGAUGUCUGGUAAGAAACCUAAGUUCAUUCUGUCAGAUCAGGAUGCAACGGUUGUUCAAGCUAUUCAUGCAGUAUUACCAGAAACAAGCCACUGUAUAUGUGCCUGGCAGAUGUAUCUGAUUGCCCUUAAACAUCUUCGCCAUGUGGUUAAAGAAUAUGAUUCUUUUGUGAUCGAUCUUAGAAGUUGCAUCUUUGGUCAUGAGCAGGAGGAAGAUUUCAUCCAAGCAUGGGACUCUAUGUUGGAGAGACAUGGCUUGUGUAAUAAUGCAUGGUUGAGAUGGAUGUAUAGAGAGAAAGAGAAGUGGGCUGUAGCAUAUGGUAGAAAUACUUUUUUCAUUGAGAGAAAUGGCACACAUCUGGUGGAGCUUUUGUCUGAUAAACUCAGAAGCUGCUUAGGGCUGGAUAUUGACGUUCUUCAGUUUUUUAAACAUUUUGAGAAUGUGGUCAAUGAACAAAGGUACAGAGAAUUAGAAUCAACCCUUGAUAUGGGAAGACAUGCUCCAGUUUUAAUGGCUAAUGCAAUCUUACUUAAGCAUCCUAGUGAGACUUAUACACCUAAGGCUUUUGAAGUAUUUCAGAGAGAAUACGAGAAAUGUUUAAAUGUCAUCAUUGAUAAGUGUGGUGAGCGUGAUACAAGAACCGAUUACAAAGCCAAAACAUAUGGAAAGUCCAGAGACUUCUUGGUCGCAUAUAAUUCUUUUGAUGGCACUGUUUCUUGCAACUGCAUGAAGUUUGAGCAUGUUGGGUUUUUGUGCGGCCAUGCUCUAAAAGUCCUUGAUCAUCAAAAUAUAAAGGUUGUUCCACAUUAUUAUAUCUUGAAGAGAUGGGCAAAAGAUGCAAGGAUUUUGCCAAUUGGAGAAAGUCAUAGUUGUGCAGAUGAUGACAACAGAAAGAUUAUUGCCACUCGUUACAAAGACCUCUGUCGUAAUGUAAUGAAAAUAUCUGCCAGGGCUGCUGAAUCUGACCCAGCUUUUGAAUAUGCUUCAAGGCAACUUGAUGAAGUCACACGAGGAAUUGAAAGAAUCCUGAAUUUUAAAACUUUUGAGGAAGCUAAAGGUCCUUGUGCUUCAGAUAAUGAACUAGCUGAUGUUGGUAUUGAUAGAAAUGACUUUGAGGAUCAGGAUGUUGAUGUGAUGAAAGGAACCACUGAAGCAGGUAGUAUAGUACCUGAUAAAGAUCAACUGAAUCACUGUGGUGAGCAAAUCCCUGGUGUGGGUGGCAAUCUAAAUAUUCGCCCGUCUCCACCUGAGACAGUUCUAUCUGUUGCAUGUGCUCCUCCCACAUAUAUUUCUUCUCCAAGUCCUGCGCCUUCAUUGAGUCCACUUACACAGGGCUUAUACACCAUUGAAUCCAGUCAUAUGGUGCAGAGUAUGUAUCAAGCAUCUAAUUUAACCAUUAACCAGCAAGCUAAUCCUAACAUGUAUGAACCUUCAAGUUUUUACUCUAACCAACAUCAUUCUCCCAGCCAUGCUCAAUUCCUUCAGGAGUCAUUGAUUCAUAGCCAGUUUCAGGAUCCUGUGUCAAAUGGUAAUCAAUUGAAGCAGGUAAUGGAUGACAGCCAGCACCUACAUCCGUCUUCGUUCAUGCAUUAUAAUCACAGAUACAGAGCUGCUGGUGUUUAGGAUAUAAAUUGGGAGGCAUCACCUUGGUGCUGCCCGAAAAAUAAAAUUAUCUGUAUGCUGUAGCAGGAUUCAAUGUAUUGUUAUAUACAUAGUUCAGUACUCCAUACUGAUACUUGAGAUCAAGUCAAUCUUCCCCUAGUGAGGUAGGGGGCAUAAGAUGAUAUACUGCUAAGAGGAAUCAGAGAAGGAAAUGCCUUAUCGAGGAGCUCGCCUCUACUACUCCUGGGUGGAACUAAAGAGUAGGUUGACUAAGCAAAUAUGAUGAAGGAACCGGAGUCGAUACUGAUUAGUUUAUCUGAUGGAGUUUUCCUGCGGUCCAGAUUGUACUACAUCACUAUGAAAGGAUUAAAAAUGAUAUGCAAUUUACAGUUGUGCAAUUGAUGACAGCAGCAAGAUUUGAUAUUAGAGGAGAUAGAAGUGGGGAAGAUUUGGUUUGGUGGUGCAGUAAUGUUUCAUUGUGUGCUAUUUCACUUUCAUAAGGGGCUGGAGGUGGGGCCCAUGGAUUACUAGGACUUGUGGCUCUUGUUAGCUUUACCCAUCUUGGAUCACGUCUCCUGUUUUGUGUGCAUUACCUUUUAUAACUGUAUAUGAGUGUGAAUCAUUUUGAGCACCAAAAAUAUUACCUAA